rnacentral:rRNA from 1 species
UACGGGGGGGGCAAGCGUUGUUCGGAAUUACUGGGCGUAAAGGGCUCGUAGGCGGUCUGUCGCGUCGAUCGUGAAAACUUGGGGCUUAACCCUGAGCUUGCGGUCGAUACGGGCAUGACUGGAGUUCGGCAGGGGAGACUGGAAUUCCUGGUGUAGCGGUGAAAUGCGCAGAUAUCAGGAGGAACACCGGUGGCGAAGGCGGGUCUCUGGGCCGAUACUGACGCUGAGGCGCGAAAGCGUGGGGAGCAAACAGG